rnacentral:rRNA from 1 species
AUUGAACGCUGGCGGCAGGCCUAACACAUGCAAGUCGAGCGGAUGAAGAGAGCUUGCUCUCUGAUUUAGCGGCGGACGGGUGAGUAAUGCCUAGGAAUCUGCCUGGUAGUGGGGGAUAACGUUCCGAAAGGUACGCUAAUACCGCAUACGUCCUACGGGAGAAAGCAGGGGACCUUCGGGCCUUGCGCUAUCAGAUGAGCCUAGGUCGGAUUAGCUAGUUGGUGAGGUAAUGGCUCACCAAGGCGACGAUCCGUAACUGGUCUGAGAGGAUGAUCAGUCACACUGGAACUGAGACACGGUCCAGACUCCUACGGGAGGCAGCAGUGGGGAAUAUUGGACAAUGGGCGAAAGCCUGAUCCAGCCAUGCCGCGUGUGUGAAGAAGGUCUUCGGAUUGUAAAGCACUUUAAGUUGGGAGGAAGGGCAUUAACCUAAUACGUUAGUGUUUUGACGUUACCAACAGAAUAAGCACCGGCUAACUUCGCGCCAGCCGCCGCUGUAAGAC